rnacentral:rRNA from 1 species
AUGGAGAGAGAAGUAGGAGGUGGCUUGGGCCUUGGGGCACGAGGUGCUGAUGAUUGCAGUGACUCAGAGUAUGAACUAGAUGCUGAAGAGGAGGCCCAUGUAGAGGAAGAGGAUUUGGGAGAUGAAGAGGAGGUCGCUCUUGCUAAGUCCAAAGCAAUGCAUUAUCAAAUAAGCCACCCAACAUUACUCAUGAGAAAUGGACUAGCCUUGUCAAUAAAUGGUCUGAUGAAAGAAACAAGGAAAACCGAGAAGCUGUCAGGCAACACCAAAAGACGGGAUCUAUGUCCUAUGUUUCCUAUUUCAGCAAACUUAAAAAAGACAAGUACAAUAAUCAGGACCCAAGUCCCAUUGAGUUUUUCAAAGACAGCCAUACAAACAGCAAGACUGAUAGCAUGUGCUGAGUCAGGACUUCUAGCUCAUAAUGCGAUGGAAAAGAAAAGGGAAGCACAAUCUGAAGGUGAGCAGCCAGUAUCCGAUACAGCGAUUGUGGCUGAAGUUCUAAAGGAAGAAAGCUCCCAUAGCACCGUCCUUUCUAGCAUGGGGUAUGCAUCAAGAUCCGGGAGGCAUCGGGAGGAGUUAGCCGCAAGACUUGAAGCACGAGAGAGAGCAUUUCAAGAGAUACAAAAGAAGCAGCAAGAAGAAUUGGAAGCUCUAAAGAAGAGCCAGCAAGAGAAGAAUGAAGCCUGGGCAAAGAAGCAAAAGGAGACGGACAAUCUGCUUGAUUUUUUGAGGGCUCAAGCAACUCUGCAGUCCCAGUCCCAACCAGAUGGUUCAUGA